rnacentral:other from 6 species
ACGGUUAUAAAUCAACAUAUUGAUUUAUAAGCAUAGAAAUCCCCUGAGUGAAACAACGAAUUGCUGUGUGUAGUCUUUGCCCAUCUCCCACGAUGGGCUUUUUUUUAA